AUUGAACGCUGGCUGCAGGCCUAACACAUGCAAGUCGAGCGGAUGAAGGGAGCUUGCUCCUGGAUUCAGCGGCGGACGGGUGAGUAAUGCCUAGGAAUCUGCCUGGUAGUGGGGGAUAACGUCCGGAAACGGGCGCUAAUACCGCAUACGUCCUGAGGGAGAAAGUGGGGGAUCUUCGGACCUCACGCUAUCAGAUGAGCCUAGGUCGGAUUAGCUAGUUGGUGGGGUAAAGGCCUACCAAGGCGACGAUCCGUAACUGGUCUGAGAGGAUGAUCAGUCACACUGGAACUGAGACACGGUCCAGACUCCUACGGGAGGCAGCAGUGGGGAAUAUUGGACAAUGGGCGAAAGCCUGAUCCAGCCAUGCCGCGUGUGUGAAGAAGGUCUUCGGAUUGUAAAGCACUUUAAGUUGGGAGGAAGGGCAGUAAGUUAAUGCCUUGCUGUUUUGACGUUACCAACAGAAUAAGCACCGGCUAACUUCGUG
rnacentral:rRNA from 1 species